CGUACAAGGUGCAUGGUUCCCCCAUGCGGGCCGCGUCAGGCGCCCAGAUGCAGAAACAUGCUUAACUUGGCUGUUCAGCCUUCUAAAAGCCAUGACCUGCAUUUAAACCUUCAAAGUGACCCCUAAACAACUCCUAAACACUAGGGACACAUGUUGGAAGGUUGGGGUUAGUUGGGGGACUUGUGUGUCAAAAUUUGUUGUGAAACCUUACUAUAAAAGGGCAUGUUUGGUUCAUAACCAACACACAACUCAAAACACACUCCUCUGGUCAUUCUAAAGGCUCUCAAGCAUUUCUCUGUAUACUCUAAGCAAGACCCAACUUCUAUUAGGAGCCUAGUAAAAGUACUUGCGACUACUGAUUAGAAUAUACGGCUGAGUUAUUAUUCUUGCUAUUUAAGACAGGAGCUAGCUCAGAUUAAGUGCAGGUGCUAUACGUAAUAGGCUGGCUACUCCAGGCAUCAUUAUUCAAGUCUUGCAAGCUUUAGAUGUCAAAGUCUGAUGAACAAUACUUUUCGAUAUUAUUAUGUGAUCCCCUGUGGAUACCUUUCGACUAUUUGUAAUACAUUUGAUAUUACGAACAAUAGUUGAAUAUAAUUAUCUUUAUGCUUCCGCUGUGCAUUAUUAUAUUGUGUGGUUUGACUAUGAUGUCUC